rnacentral:rRNA from 1 species
CGAGAAAGUGGAGCAAUCCAUGAGUAAAGUGGCGCACGGGUGAGUAACACGUGACUAACCUACCCUUGAGUGGGGGAUAACCUAGGGAAACCUGGGCUAAUACCGCAUAAUACCUUCGGGUCAAAGGAGCAAUUCGCUUAAGGAGGGGGUCGCGGCCGAUUAGUUAGUUGGCGGGGUAAUGGCCCACCAAGACUAUGAUCGGUAUCCGGCCUGAGAGGGCGCACGGACACACUGGAACUGAAACACGGUCCAGACUCCUACGGGAGGCAGCAGUGGGGAAUUUUGCGCAAUGGGGGAAACCCUGACGCAGCAACGCCGCGUGGAGGAUGAAGCCCCUUGGGGCGUAAACUCCUUUCGAUCGGGACGAUUAUGACGGUACCGGAAGAGGAAGCCCCGGCUAACUUCGUGCCAGCAGCCGCGGUAAUACGAGGGGGGCGAGCGUUGUUCGGAAUUAUUGGGCGUAAAGGGUGCGUAGGCGGUUCAGUAAGUCUUGUGUGA